rnacentral:rRNA from 1 species
UACGUAGGUGGCAAGCGUUGUCCGGAAUUAUUGGGCGUAAAGCGCUCGCAGGCGGUCCUUUAAGUCUGAUGUGAAAUCUCGUGGCUCAACCACGAACGGUCAUUGGAAACUGGGGGACUUGAGUACAGAAGAGGAGAGUGGAAUUCCACGUGUAGCGGUGAAAUGCGUAGAGAUGUGGAGGAACACCAGUGGCGAAGGCGACUCUCUGGUCUGUAACUGACGCUGAGGAGCGAAAGCGUGGGGAGCGAACAGG